rnacentral:rRNA from 1 species
AUUGAACGCUGGCGGCAGGCCUAACACAUGCAAGUCGAGCGGAUGAAGGGAGCUUGCUCCUGGAUUCAGCGGCGGACGGGUGAGUAAUGCCUAGGAAUCUGCCUGGUAGUGGGGGAUAACGUCCGGAAACGGGCGCUAAUACCGCAUACGUCCUGAGGGAGAAAGUGGUGGAUCUUUGGACCUCGAGCUAUCAGAUGAGCCUAGGUCGGAUUAGCUAGUUGGUGGGGUAAAGGCCUACCAAGGCGACGAUCCGUAACUGGUCUGAGAGGAUGAUCAGUCACACUGGAACUGAGACACGGUCCAGACUCCUACGGGAGGCAGCAGUGGGGAAUAUUGGACAAUGGGCGAAAGCCUGAUCCAGCCAUGCCGCGUGUGUGAAGAAGGUCUUCGGAUUGUAAAGCACUUUAAGUUGGGAAGAAGGGCAGUAAGUUAAUACCUUGCUGUUUUGACGUUACCAACAGAAUAAGCACCGGCUAACUUCGUG